CGCCCAAAACAACAUCGGUCCACCCACUAAGUCUACAGAAGGGAGCCAAGAUAGUAGAAAAAAUGCAGGAAAUAACUCAACCGCUACAAGUCACUACACUAUCAUGCUCUACACUAACCAACUGUAGGACAUGUCAAAUCUGACCCAAUCCAAUCGGGACUGUAAACAUACCCGUCCCUGGGACUGUGAAUACACCCGUCCCUGCCCCGUUGUGACUAUCGGGCUCUAUCCACACUAACUGGUCCGUGGAGAGCAAGUCCAACUGGCAUGAGCGACACCAACGUGAAAGCACAAAGCCUGACUCCGGAGUGGCACUCGUGGGCGCUACCCAACCGAGUAUGCAGCGUAUCUCUGUCGAGCUCAAUCAGGCUUUGUCAAGCCAAAGUCCAAGUAACUGACUCAACCUGGUCUAACAACCAACAAGUAACGUGCCCUCGGUACAAUCUGACGCCAAAAAGGCGAUAUGGGUCCACCGUCAACUCUGACGGCACCCAACAGUCCGGAACAACCAGAACGACCCUGUAAAAAUCCACUCGGCAUACCAGCACGGGCGUAUAAGUAUUCUAAACUAUCUGGAGUACUCGUCUCAAGGAUACUGCGACAGUACAAUUUUAUAACGGCUCCUAGAGCUAAGUCAGGCACUUUAAACAAGUGGCAGGUCCAAAUCGCAGGUUUUCUCCUAAUUCAAUUUUUAAGUCCAACAUGUAUAAACUACUCAAUUUCUUACCACAUACUCCAAAUUCAGAUAUGCAAUCUACC
rnacentral:lncRNA from 1 species